UUAUCAUUGAGCAGGUGACUGCUUGCAAGCUAUGGCGGCAAGUUGGAGAAUCUUUUAAUCCUCCAAAGUUUGGGAUGAACUUGUGGAUUGAUUUUGGCUCAUGCUGAAGAACUCCUCUAUUUUGAUAUCAUCCAUCUCUAGUAUUUUGUUGACCAUGGAAUUGAAGUCCAUCUUUUGGUUUUAGCAUAUGUUAGGUAUAUGGCAGUUAUCUAGGGAGAAAUAGCAAUAUUUAUAUUGGUUUCAAAUAGUGGAAUGGGAUGAUAUGUAAAUGUUUGACAUGGUUAACUUUUGUGGUUUGACAUAUUAUGGUUGCCUACUAAUGAUAAUUUGUGAAGUUUUGGUUGA